UACAUGCAAGUCGUACGCUUCUUUUUCCACCGGAGCUUGCUCCACCGGAAAAAGAAGAGUGGCGAACGGGUGAGUAACACGUGGGUAACCUGCCCAUCAGAAGGGGAUAACACUUGGAAACAGGUGCUAAUACCGUAUAACAAUCGAAACCGCAUGGUUUUGAUUUGAAAGGCGCUUUCGGGUGUCGCUGAUGGAUGGACCCGCGGUGCAUUAGCUAGUUGGUGAGGUAACGGCUCACCAAGGCCACGAUGCAUAGCCGACCUGAGAGGGUGAUCGGCCACAUUGGGACUGAGACACGGCCCAAACUCCUACGGGAGGCAGCAGUAGGGAAUCUUCGGCAAUGGACGAAAGUCUGACCGAGCAACGCCGCGUGAGUGAAGAAGGUUUUCGGAUCGUAAAACUCUGUUGUUAGAGAAGAACAAGGAUGAGAGUAACUGUUCAUCCCUUGACGGUAUCUAACCAGAAAGCCACGGCUAACUACGUGCCAGCAGCCGCGGUAAUACGUAGGUGGCAAGCGUUGUCCGGAUUUAUUGGGCGUAAAGCGAGCGCAGGCGGUUUCUUAAGUCUGAUGUGAAAGCCCCCGGCUCAACCGGGGAGGGUCAUUGGAAACUGGGAGACUUGAGUGCAGAAGAGGAGAGUGGAAUUCCAUGUGUAGCGGUGAAAUGCGUAGAUAUAUGGAGGAACACCAGUGGCGAAGGCGGCUCUCUGGUCUGUAACUGACGCUGAGGCUCGAAAGCGUGGGGAGCAAACAGGAUUAGAUACCCUGGUAGUCCACGCCGUAAACGAUGAGUGCUAAGUGUUGGAGGGUUUCCGCCCUUCAGUGCUGCAGCUAACGCAUUAAGCACUCCGCCUGGGGAGUACGACCGCAAGGUUGAAACUCAAAGGAAUUGACGGGGGCCCGCACAAGCGGUGGAGCAUGUGGUUUAAUUCGAAGCAACGCGAAGAACCUUACCAGGUCUUGACAUCCUUUGACCACUCUA
rnacentral:rRNA from 1 species